AAGAGGAGAUAGUUGUGCAUAAACAACAAGAAAUAUUAUCAAGAGAGUUUAAAAUGUAUAAAUAAUGUUACAAAAAUUCAGAGGAAGCAAGAAUCACGUAUGGCAGGGAUGAAGAGAAAUGUCAUAAAGCAAGUGGAUGAAGAAAGCCUAUUGUCCAAAAUAUGAUAGAGGAAGAUGGAAGACCUUGUGGACAAUGAGUUGGGCCCAAAAUUGAACAGGAAGAGAACAGCACAAAACAUCUGGAGACACUGUGACUUGUUUAUUGGGCCUCACCAGAGUGAAGAUUGUUAAACACUUCUGAGUACUUAUCAUAGCCCCAAUGAGAGGACUCCAUGCAAUGUAUGUCA